GACGAACGCUGGCGGCGGGCUUAACACAUGCAAGUCGAACGGAAAGGCCCUGCUUUUGUUGGUUUCUCGAGUGGCGAACGGGUGAGUAACACGGGAGUAACCUGCCCUUGACUUUGUGAUAACUUCAGGAAACUGGGGCUAAUACAGGAUAGGAGAUCCUGCUGCAUGGUGGGGGUUGGAAAGUGUCGGCGGUUGGGGAUGGGCUCGCGGCUUAUCAGCUUGUUGGUGGAGUAGUGGCUUACCAAGGCUUUGACGGGUAGCCGGCCUGAGAGGGUGACCGGGCCAAUUGGGACUGAGAUACGGCCCAGAGUCCUACGGGAGGCAGCAGUGGGGAAUAUUGCACAAUGGGCGGAAGCCUGAUGCAGCAACGCCGCGUGCGGGAUGACGGCCUUCGGGUUGUAAACCGCUUUCGCCUGUGACGAAGCGUGAGUGACGGUAAUGGGUAAAGAAGCACCGGCUAACUACGUG
rnacentral:rRNA from 1 species